GCUGGGCAUGGUGGCGCAUGCCUGUAAUCCCAGCUACUCAGGAGGCUGAGGCAGGAGAAUCGCUUGAAACCAGGACGCAGAGGUUGCAGGGAGCCAAGAUCGCACCAUUGCACUCCGGCCUGGGGGAUAGAGUGAGACUCUGUCUCUA
ensembl:misc_RNA Metazoa_SRP Metazoan signal recognition particle RNA